rnacentral:rRNA from 1 species
GUGGGGAAUAUUGGACAAUGGGCGAAAGCCUGAUCCAGCCAUACCGCGUGUGUGAAGAAGGUCUUCGGAUUGUAAAGCACUUUAAGUUGGGAGGAAGGGCAGUAAGUUAAUACCUUGCUGUUUUGACGUUACCGACAGAAUAAGCACCGGCUAACUUCGUGCCAGCAGCCGCGGUAAUACGAAGGGUGCAAGCGUUAAUCGGAAUUACUGGGCGUAAAGCGCGCGUAGGUGGUUUUGUAAGUUGGAGGUGAAAUCCCCGGGCUCAACCUGGGAACUGCCUCCAAAACUGCAUGACUAGAGUACGGUAGAGGGUAGUGGAAUUUCCUGUGUAGCGGUGAAAUGCGUAGAUAUAGGAAGGAACACCAGUGGCGAAGGCGACUACCUGGACUGAUACUGACACUGAGGUGCGAAAGCGUGGGGAGCAAACAGGAUUAGAAACCCCGGUAGUCC